AGUAUGGCUGUGUGACAAUAUGGUUUGUUUCUAUUUAUAAAACAGUUCCAGUCCUUGAUUCUGAUUGGUCAAUAGUUGUACUUUACUCCACUUUGCGUUGUGCCUAAUACGAAAAGGCAGCCCCUCGUACCUCACUGCUUACUUAAGUAUCAGUUUUACACAUUUAGUAUCAGGGGGUCCCUGCUCCAUGCCUCUCUCAUCUAAGGGGUCCCCGACCCAAAAAACAUUGAAGACCCCUGAUUUAACACAUUAUAGGGCUUUUCACACCUGAAAUUGUUAACCCUGGGUUAUUCUAAAACCAGGGUUAACGGAAUCCUGGGUUAUUUUUUUCAUGUUUCACACUGUUCAAACUUAACCAGGGGUUAAGAGAUAACCCUGGGUAUUCAUAAUUUGACGUUUCACACUGUGCAUUCCUAAACCCUGGAUCAGGAGUCUCCAACCCAGUUUCAACACACCUGUCUGUAAUUAUCAAGCCUUGAUUAGCUACUUCAGCUGUGUUUAAUUAGGGUCAUAACAUUCUAACCCUGCUUCGUUUCACACUGCAUGCGUUUGGCACCACAAUGCGGGGUUAACACCACAAAUGUGGUGCCAACCCUGCUCCAGAGCAGGGUUUCAUAACCCUGGGUAAAAAGCGGUGCUAACACCGCUUUCAAAUUACAGGUGUGAAACGCACCUUAACCCAGGGUUAAAAGCAGGGUUUAGAAAGAAGAUAACCCAGGGUUAAGCACAGUGUGAAAACCCCUUAUGUGUUCAUUUUAACACAUUGUAGGGGUUUUCAUGGUUACCACAAAAUAUCCAUGGUUUUGACAAAAUUGAUAGUAAUCAAUACACCAAAAAACCAUGGUUCUGUAAGGGUUUUGUCUUGUGUUCUGUUUGUUUUGUUGUCAGGUCUUUUAUUUUGAUAUCAUAUUCUGUUUCCAGUCUUUUAUUUUGAAAUCUUGUCAUGUCACACUUCACUUUUUACUUCCUGUUUGUUCACUAUAAAUCUGGUUCAUUGAUAUCAUAUCACUGCAAAGUAUUGUAUGUGUAACAGCUACCUUGCCGAGUGGUCCUUGUCUUGUUUCUUGUUCUGGAUCUUGUUCAUGGUUUUGACCCUUGCCUGGAGUUUUGGAUUACGUUUGUGUAUUGCCCUAUUGGAUUUGUUUGCCUGCCUGUGUGGAUUUACUUUUUAAUAAACCUCCUGCACAUGGAUUUGUCUCUUUCUCUUUCUCGCCAUAUCAGAAUCCAGCUGAGGUUUAUAAUUUCCAGCCGGCAGCAUGAAUCCAGCGUUUGCGCUAUUUGAAUUAUGCCAGGACAAUCGGCUAAAGUCAUUCCUGUCUCUAAGAUGGCCGCCAGCAUGCCUGUCACUAAGAUGGCUGACACAAUGCCUGUCUCUAAAAUGGCCGUCACCAAGCAAGUCUCUGCACCCAAGAUGGCUGUCAUGUUACCUGCACCUGCUUUUAAGAUGGCUACCGCCUUACCUGCACCUGUUACCCAAAGAGCCAUUGCCACGACCACACCUGUCUUAAAGAGGGCUGUUGUUACCCCUGCACCUGCUAUCAAAAUGAGCCGUGAGGCUCUGCAGAGAGUGGUGCGCUCAGCUGAACGUACCAAUUAUCAAUGAAAUAAUUUCUGACCAAAACUUAGAUGCACUCUGUCUAACAGAGACCUGGCUUAAAGCAGACGAUUACAUCAGUUUAAACGAAUCCACCCCACAAGACUAUUACUAUAAACACGUUCCUCGUCUAAAAGGGAGAGGGGGUGGUGUAGCUACAAUCAGGGGUGGACUGGCCAUCGGGAGUUCCGGGAGCAAUCCCAAACGGCCGGUCCAUUUCAGGCCGAACCGGCCGGAGGUCAAAAAGUUUUUUUUUAAUGCCUGACCAGGCGCUCAGCUGCAGCGGAACGCUGUGUCUGUUUCAGACCGGGCCAAACCAAUUCUUCAAAUCUUGAGGGGAGAUAAGAGCGGCCCCUCCCAACUUGGACUGAUCCUCGGUUUUCCUCACAUCCGAUUGGCUCAAAGGCGCCGAGCAAAAGAGUUUACUUUUGGUCAGGUUUGGAUUCGUGUGAAUGCAACAAAGACAAGACGGUAAAAAUUGCGAAAAGAAGAGAAAGAAAUGGGUGGGGCCUAAAACAUAAAAAUGUUGGCACAAGAGGCAGCUAAAUGCGCCAAAUUAACAGACCUUUUUCGCAGUCAAAAGGACGCUGUGGCAGGAGGUGCAGAUGAGGAAGGACCAGCAGCAUGGAGAGGACAGCUGUUAAGGUCACUGAUGGAGAGAGACAGGUUGAUGAUGACUCUUGCAGUCAUAUUGAUGAGGAGGAGGAAGGAAAGCAGAACAAGAGGAGGAGGAGAAUGGAACCAGUACAAAAACAGUGAUGGCUGUACAAUCAGUAAGCAGAGGCAGGGUCCAGCACAGGGGAAGUGGAGCCUGGGAGAGUUGAAAGUGAGUACGUACACACACAAUCUCUAUUUUAUAGGACUGUAUUGUAGUUUUUGAUUAUCUGAGUGGGUAUGUGUGAGUAAUUGUAACAAUUUUAUCACUCCAACUGACUGUACACAUGACAUGCUGGAAGUUAGCAGUAUACUGUGACUUAUGUGUUCGAGAUUAGGUUUUGCUGACCUGGUUGUGUUUAGUGCAGUGGUGACUUGCUUAUACAACCUGAGGAGGCAGGUGUUAUCCUAAAGUUUCUUUUAGGUCUUCAGCAUAAUCUGAUUCUCUUCAAGUUCAUACCAUAAAAACACUACUAGAAUUAAAAUAACUGCAAAAAAGCCUGCUCGUGCACCAAGGGCACUCGCGUAAAAGGCCUCUCCAUCUUAAAGUCCCGGGCUGAAUUUCAGUCCCAGUACGUCCCUGGCUACAAUAUACAACAAAAUAUUUAAAGUAAACCAUAAAUCUGAAUUAAAAUUUAAUUUGUUUGAAAUAAUACUGUUAAAUAUGGAAAUAACUGAUCGUAACAACAAACAGCUUUCGUUCAUCUUAGCUACCAUAUAUAGGCCUCCGGGCCACCACACAGAUUUUCUUAAAGAAAUAGCCGACUUCCUGUCUGAACUCACAGUCACGAUAGAUAAAGCUCUUAUCGUUGGUGAUUUUAAUAUUCAUGUGAAUAACCCAAAAGAUGCAUUAGGACGUGCGUUUAUGGAUGUUCUUAAUUCUCUCGGUAUUAAACAAAACGUAUCGGGGCCAACGCAUACUCGUAAGCACACAUUAGACUUAAUUCUGUCACUCGGACUCAAUAUUAAUGAUAUCGAAAUAUCACCCCAGAGCGAUGCCAUUUCAGACCAUUGCCUGGUGUCUUACACAAUACUUCUAGAUAGGACCCCUCAGUCUACAACAUGCUACAGAUUAGCCAGAGCAAUAAUUUCCACCACUAAAGAUAGCUUUAUUAGCACUCUUCCAGACCUGUCUCAAAUGAAACAUGUAGCAGAUAACAAUGAAGAUCUGGAUAUUAUAAUAGAAAACCUGAACAACGUUUGCACUAGCACAUUGGAUGCCGUUGCUCCCAUUCGAAAAAAGAGAAUCAAAGAAAAAACGGCAGCUCCAUGGUAUGAUCAUCAUACUGCAGCCCUUAAAAAAGUAGGCAAGGCAAGGCAAGGCAAGUUUAUUUGUAUAGCACAUUUCAUACACAGAGAUCAUUCAAAGUGCUUUACACAGAAAUGAGAAAACAAUAUAUAAAAAUAAGAUUUACAAAGAUACAUGAGAAUUUAAAAUAACAAUUAAAGAAAAUAAAUGUGAUUUUAAUAAAACAGUUUAAAAUGUUAAAAAGAAUAAAACAGAUGUAAAAGUGGCUUGAGUUAAAAGUGCAGUCAGUGUGAAGCAGCACAGUGCUCAUUCAGUAAAUGCAGAGUU